rnacentral:misc_RNA from 1 species
GGGACAUAUUUUUUUCGCCUUAUAUAGCGUAUUGUUGUCAGGCAUUUUAAACUACAGGCCGCAAUGUGUGCGAAUAAUUGGCGAAAGGCAUCCUCUGGUUGCCUUUUUCUUU